rnacentral:rRNA from 1 species
UACGUAGGGUGCAGGCGUUAAUCGGAAUUACUGGGCGUAAAGCGUGCGCAGGCGGUUUGCUAAGACAGGUGUGAAAUCCCCGGGCUUAACCUGGGAACUGCGCUUGUAACUGGCAGGCUAGAGUGUGGCAGAGGGGGGUGGAAUUCCACGUGUAGCAGUGAAAUGCGUAGAGAUGUGGAGGAACACCGAUGGCGAAGGCAGCCCCCUGGGCUAACACUGACGCUCAUGCACGAAAGCGUGGGGAGCAAACAGG